rnacentral:misc_RNA from 1 species
UCAAUCGAUUCUCACCGGCGACACACAUCCAGUCGACCCAUCAAAAAUCCUCUAAUGUCAAUCUGACACGUUGAAAUGGCUGUGAAAAGUCGCAGGCCCUCGAUUUCGUGACGUCACGGCUAAUCACGUGACCCCUUCUCCACCAAUCCUCCUUACCGAAUUCUCUCUCACACUAGAGUUCGUUCCUCCAACUCUUUUUUUUUUCUCUUUCUUCUUAUUCUUCAAUCUGCACGAAAGAAAGUUUCCUUUUUUUUUUCCUUCUCUCUUUUGCCCGGAUUAUAUGAUUAAAGGUCCUCUCUCUUCAGGUUCGGGAGAGCAGGAGGAGGAGGAAUUUUCUAUUUUUUUCUGUACCACCUUUUGCCUAUUUACCGCUUCACGAGCUUCACAAGCUCUCACUUUUUCCGUUGGCUGCCUUCUCUAUUCUUGGAUUCUUCUUCCCCUUUUUUUUCAUGAAAAAAAAUGUGUUUUCCUUUUUUUUUUUUAUUUAGUUUUUGAGAAAAAAUAUCGCGCCAUUCGAAGCAGAGCUCAUCUUUUUGCUCGUUAAUUUUGUUAUUUUUGUUUCUGACUUGUCAGAAAUGGGGAGGAAAAAAAAAAGAAGAUAUGUGCGUAGAGGCCGAUUUUUUUUUUACCUUGUUGCAAUCAACAUCUUUUUUUUUUUUUGCAAACAAGUUAACGCCGGAAAUGCCAUACGCGUUAGUCAAACAGCUCUCAACAGGAUAGGUAAUUAGCGAUGAAGAAGUGAGAUGAUUUUCUUGUUUAUUUUCCUUUUUAGCGUUUUUUCUUCGUGUUUUUUGUAAAUUAUCUAUCGAUACGAUGUUACUAUCGUGGGUUUGUAUCGAUUCUUAGGGGAAAUGAUGAAUGUUUUUAUUGAUUGUUGUUUUUGCUCUAAACUCCGCCUUUCACGCAUGGCGCCAUGGUUGGUUGGUCGUAAACAAGCUGUCCAUCAUUUCUCUUCUUUUUUCGGUGUUUUACACCUUCUUCUCCCUUUAUAACCCAAAAUUCCCUAGUUCCCUUUUCCUACUUUUAUUACGACCGCACAAAGCAUUCGACAAGAAGAUGACUGCUCCAAGAACUAUCAUCAACAAACUCGGAAUGAUUUCCGACAAAUGCCAUCAAGCUGCAUGGCAAUUGAAAGAUCCCUCCAAUUUGGCCGUGACUCGUAUACUCUUUGGCUUUCUUAUGGCUGUCGAUAUCCAUUUUGAGCGGGGCUUUGCUGAAGUGGACCACAGGUUUGGUGGUUUCACACAAUGCCAUUUCCCUUUAUUUGAUUUUGUAAAGCCACUCACAUUCCAGUGGAUGUGUCUGGUUUAUCUGCUGAUGUGGUUAGGGGCUUGUGGGAUAAUGGUGGGCUACAAUUUCAAGCUUAGCUGUCUCAGCUUUAUCAUUCCCUACUGGUACAUACUGAUAUUGGACAAAACCUCAUGGAACAAUCAUUCCUAUCUUUAUGGUCUGCUGUCGAUACUCUUACUCUUUUCUUCUGCCAAUCACUAUUGUUCGAUUGAUGCAUGGAUCAACCCAGACAUAAGAAACAAACCUGUGCCAAAUUGGAACUACCUACUAGUCAAAUUUCAAAUUUUUCUGCUCUAUUUUUAUGCUGGUGUCAAGAAGAUGGAUCCCGAGUGGCUUGGUGGCUAUUCCAUGAAGAACCUUGGCAGCCACUGGGUUUUCACACCUUUCAAGAUCUUUUUGACUGAAGAAACCAUCGAAUAUUACAUGGUGCACAUUGGGGGAUUCGUUUUAGACCUGACCGUCGGGGUCUGGUUAUUGUGGCCGAAAUCGCGGCCUUUGGCAUUAUUUUUUGCUACUUCAUUCCACAUGAUGAAUGCACAGCUUUUUACGAUAGGGAUGUUUCCUUACGUUUGCCUGGCCACGUUACCUGUUUUUUGUGACGAUGAUUGGCCUAAGCGGUGGAUCGCUAAAUGCCCCGGGCUGUUGCGCAGAUGUCUUCCAGAUGCGACGAAGAUUGCCACUACCACCACUAGAGAAAACGGCGGCAAAUAUUCAGCUUUUAAAAUCACCUUGAUGGGCUUGUACGUCGUAACACAAUUGGUCCUUCCUUGGUCGCACUCUGUCACUCAGGGAUACAACAACUGGACAAACGGCCUGUACGGCUACUCGUGGGAUAUGAUGGUACACGCAUGGGAGACGAUGCACGUCGUAGUCACGGUCAAAGACAAAACCACUGGACGAUUAAACUACCUUGACACUGAGGUGUUUGUGAGGAACGACAAAUGGGUUGGUCAUGCAGACAUGGUUUAUCAGUACGCUCAUUGCGUCAAAGAUCGCCUCGAGGCAGUCAACAUGACAGAUGUGGCCAUUUACGUCGAUGUCUGGCGUUCUCUAAACGGCCGCUUCCAGCAGAGAUUGAUUGAUCCUCGCGUCAAUUUACUGGAGGCCGAGUGGUCCCCUUUUCGUCCUACGCCCUGGCUAAUGCCUUUGCUUACUGAACUAUCAGCAUGGCGUCAAAAACUGACUCAGCUAGAACGUACCGUCUUCAAUUGGUCAGACUCGUCCCGAGUUGCCUUCGUGGCCGAUUUUCCCGGACUCUCUAUGGACAAUUACGUACCGGAAGGUGUGACGAAUGCGACCAUUCAGGUGCUCGAGGGCCAGGUGGAGUUAUCGAUCGAGAAUGGAACUCAAUCGUAUCUGCUGAAUGCCAACGACACAGCGUCUCUACCUUCGAGGGUCAUGCACAAAAUCACGACCACGUCAACCGUUCCAGCGUGUUACAUGUACACUUUCAUCGGCCCUGCAACCGCCAGCGAAUCCGGCAACGCACGCCGCAACAGUGCCAAAAAAGAGACCUCCCACCGAGACGUAUCUUUGAUGACACCCUUCGCCAAAUCUUUAGCUUUGGUUGGCCAGAGUAUACUCAAUCUAGUCUUUGGUAUUCCGCUCGUGAUGCAUAACAGCAAGUAACAACAACAACAAAAAAAACUCUCUUUUUUUUUUUAUGUUUUUGCUUCGCUCUUUUAUCGAUCACUUCAAUCUGCACAACAAAUGGCAUAAAUUUGCUCCGCCCAUAUUGUCUGUGCCAUGUGUGAUUCCCACUGAAAUUGAAUGUUUGUUUGGCGUCGUUGCAACUCGCAACGACAAAAUUAUGCUAAUUUUGUGGAAAAGGCCAAAAAAGCACAAGUCUAGUCUUUUUAUCCCCAGUAUACCGCCAGGAGGUGUCGGAAAAUGUUUGGCAUGUGAAUAGAAAAUUGUGUAUUGUAA